UGGGGAAUUUUGGACAAUGGGCGCAAGCCUGAUCCAGCCAUGCCGCGCGCGGGAAGAAGGCCUUCGGGUUGUAAACCGCUUUUGUCAGGGAAGAAAUCUUCUGAGUUAAUACCUCGGGAGGAUGACGGUACCUGAAGAAUAAGCACCGGCUAACUACGUGCCAGCAGCCGCGGUAAUACGUAGGGUGCAAGCGUUAAUCGGAAUUACUGGGCGUAAAGCGUGCGCAGGCGGUUUUGUAAGACAGAGGUGAAAUCCCCGGGCUCAACCUGGGAACUGCCUUUGUGACUGCAAGGCUUGAGUGCGGCAGAGGGGGGAUGGAAUUCCGCGUGUAGCAGUGAAAUGCGUAGAUAUGCGGAGGAACACCGAUGGCGAAGGCAAUCCCCUGGGCCUGCACUGACGCUCAUGCACGAAAGCGUGGGGAGCAAACAGGAUUAGAUACCCUGGUAGUCCACGCCCUAAACGAUGUCAACUGGUUGUUGGGAAGGUUCCUUCUCAGUAACGUAGCUAACGCGUGAAGUUGACCCGCCUGGGGGAGUACGGCCGCAAGGUUG
rnacentral:rRNA from 1 species